UUUGUGUAGCACACGUGCCCAUUUGCCUCUGAUCUCUGCAUGUUUUUUACUGUUCUUGAACUAAGUAAAAUAGCUGAAGUUCUUUUAAAUGUGAGAGCUGCUGUGUGGAAAUAGGUGUUUUAUUCACUUAUUACAGUCAAAGACUGACUCCUGUUGCAUGCAUGACAUAAGAUGUGGAAAAUCAAUCCCUUUUCUGUCUCUCCCAAUGAUAGCAAAAUGUUGAAUUUAUACUGGCCUGACAGAGUCCAGAUUACCAAGCAUACCAAAGUUUCCAGUUCUCUUGCUGUAAUGACUCUGUAGCGAGUUAACUGGCACUGUAAACUAGCUUUUCUCAGGAAACAAAUCUGACUUGGAGACACAAAGGGCAUAGGGCUCCAUUUCAUGUGAAAUGGAGCAUUGUUUUCAUACAGCCACCUCUGGAAGAAUGAUUAUGUUUUGACUGCUAUGGACAGAAGGCUGUGCUAGUGGGGACUCCCCUAGCCCUGGGCUGGCACCCAGGUUUGUGUGCUUCACUGUUGUCCUGCCACAGCUGGCUACCAGGUGCUGUGUCAGUCCCGAAGAUAUUCCAGCUGCUGGCUGCAGGUAACUGGGUAGUGACAGAGGACUUUGUUUCACAGGCAAUUUAGAGGAACACUUCUUGUCAAGAUAGCAAGACUGCCGAAGAAGUAGAAUUGACUGAGUUUUCAGCUCUUCAGAAAUAUUCUAGAUUGGUCUCAAAUUCGUUGCUUUAACAGUUGUUAACUAAUUUGCUCCUUGUAUUGUCUUUACUGCAUCAUUCUACACAGUCUCCUUUGGAGCAGCCAGCCCAAUCAAGAAAAGAUUCGUUUCUACUCAAUUCCUUAGCUGACCCAGAAGGAGAAAUGUUUUUUAGCUAUUCUGUAAGAUCCUUCAGCCCCUUUUUCUACAGCAUUUACCUUUGACAAGACCUUGUUGCAAUAAACCAGCACGUUCUGUGAUGCCAGGGGUCUUACAGCACUGGAAGUGGAACAGGCUUCUCAGUUUUUUUAGAAGAAAGAGCUGGGAGAUCUUAGUAAAAAGAGGAUGUGAGGAGGGCAGGGCCAGGGAAAGUAGAAAUGAAUAUAUGCUUGCACAAUGCUGAGAGUAGAGGGAACUCAGAGGAGACACGAGAUAAAGUGCCAGUGCCUUCACUGCAGCUUAUUGACAUGGAUUAUACAAAACCUUGCUGGAAGUACUGAUGCUUUUACUGUACCUCUUACUAUGACAAAUUUCAUUUCCCUGUUUCAUUUCCCUCCUUAUUCCUGGCCUGAUCCCCAUCUUGCUUCCUCUUUUUAUUCUCAGUGGCACAGGUUUUUGAUGGCAUUGAUUGCCACACUUGCUGUUGCUUCUUGUAUCACUUCAGUCCCCAUCAGCAUUUCAUUUGGCCAAGACCCUGUCUUCCCUUUCUUCUUGGCUUUUACAGCUAGCUGGUGGGGAGGUGUUCUGCUCUUGGGUUCUUUUUAAUUCCUUCCAGUCUGUUUCCUGCCUUCUUCACCUGAUGGACUUUGCUGCCCUCAAAAUGGCUAACUGCAUUUCCUCUCCAACAUCACUGGCAGCCUCUUCAGCUCGGUGAUGUGCAGGACAGAUUUCCUGUUUGCCUGAAGUUAAAUCUGAGCUGACCUGUCACUACAAAUGGACAGUUUUUCAAAGAUGAGGCUUGGUGGAGCAGCUUCUUGGUAUCUCAAAGAUGGAAGGCCAACUUUGUGCUAAUGUGGACAUUUCUGUGAAAAAGCCUCCAGAAACAAGCCCUCUGUCCUUCAUUGCUUUGCUGAAGGUUCACCGAGAGCUUCUGGUCAGUAGGAUCCGAAACACGCAGUGCUUGAUUGAUAACUUGAUUAAGAACGACUACUUCUCCACUGAAGAUGCAGAGAUUGUUGUCCAGUUUCCUACUCAACCAGAUAAGGUUCGCAAAAUUCUAGACUUGGUUCAAAGCAAGGGAGAAGAAGUUUCGGAAUAUUUCGUCUAUGUCCUGCAGAAAGUCACUGAUGCUUACUAUGAGCUUCAGCCUUGGCUGGAUGAAAUAGGUUACAAGCCUUCAGAGAAUAUUUGUAGUAAACCUGUGGUAAAUACAGAUCCAGUUAGCAGGUAUUGCCAGAAACUCAGACAUGAACUGGGACGGGACUCCAAGUUUUUUAUGCUGUACGCUCAGAAGGAGGAGAUGCUUCUUGAAGAAAUUUACUCCAACAGUAUUAUGGAGCUGGUCAGUUUUACCAAUGAGAGUCUUGGCCAGGUGGGACAACUAGAAGCCCUUUUUGAUGAUGCAGUUGGGCUAAUUAAUGAAGAUGGAGAGACUGUUUAUGUCUACGGUGAUGCAGGAAUUGGAAAAUCCAUCUUGCUGCAAAAGAUACAAAGCCUUUGGGCCAGGAAGGAGUUGGACAUAGGGGCCAAGUUUUUCUUCUGUUUUCGGUGUAGGAUGUUUAGCUGCUUCAAGGAAGAUGAAGCCAUAUGUUUGAAAGACCUGCUCUUCAAAUAUAAUUGCUACCCAGACCAGGACCCCGCAGAAGUGUUCCAUCACAUCUUGCAGUUCCCUCAUACAGUUCUUUUCACCUUUGAUGGCUUUGAUGAGAUCUAUUCCAGCUUUGAUCUCAGCAGUGUACCUGAGGUAUGCUCACCCGAUGAACCCAUCCACCCCCUGGCACUGCUCGUAAGCCUUCUCAGAGGAAAGCUUCUUAAGGGAUCCAAGAAAAUUCUUACUGCCAGGACAGGAACUGAGAUCCAAAAAAACAUCAUUAGGAAGAAGGUGUUGCUCCGUGGUUUCUCCAGGAAUAACCUGAAGGAAUACACAGCUAUGUUUUUCAAAGAUGAGCAGCAACGAGCACUGGUGUCAAACCAGUUGGAAGCUAACCCAAAUCUCUGCAGUUUGUGUUCAGUGCCUUUAUUUUGCUGGAUUAUCUUUAAAUGCUUUGAGCACUUCCACUCCAGCCAGUGGUUUGACGGCCACGAGCUCCCAGACAGUUCUGUUACAUUAACAGAUGUAUUUCUGCUCAUGAUUGAAGUACACCUGAACCGAUCAGUGAAAACAAGUUUGCUGAAGAGCAAUAUCAGGAGCCAAGCAGAGAUGUUCAAGUCAAGAAAGGAAAGUCUUCUAGCUUUGGGUAAAAUGGCAUACAAAGGGAUGGAGAACUCUUCCUUUAUCUUUGAGCAGGAGGAAGUCUCAUCGGCAAACAUCUCUGAAGAAGAUUUGCAAUUGGGCUUUCUCAGGACAGUUAAAGGUUAUAGUGGCUGUGACAGUCAGGCCACUUAUGAGUUCUUGCACUUAACCCUUCAGUCUUUUUUCACAGCUUUAUUUUUGGUUAUGGAGGAGAAGGUGGGUACCAAGGAGUUACUUGAGUUUUUCAGUGAAUGUUCUUCCAUGGAGACUGCCCAGCCUACUUGCCUUCGUAUCCCCUGGCUGAAGAAACAACUAGCAGGGGGGGAUCCUUUCCAAAAUAAAGAACACUUUAAUUUUACCAACAUGUUUCUUUGUGGCCUGCUUUCUGGACCCAGGCAGAAGCUCUUCAGACAUUUAGUUUCACCUGCGGUCAUUAAGAGGAAGAGAAAAACACUCAUCACAUACCUUGGGGAGAGCAUGAAAUCCCGCCUGAAAGGCUACACUCGGUCCAGGCUGAAAAGCUACAACCAGGUGCAGGUGCAGCCCAACUUUGUGUGGAUGCUGAGGUGCCUGUAUGAGACGCAGAGUGAGAAGGUGGGGAGGAUGGCAGCCCGCCGCAUGCACGCCAACUACAUCAAGCUGGCCUACUGCAACGCCUGCUCUGCCGACUGCAGCGCCAUUUCCUUCCUUCUGCACCACUUCCAAAAGCGCCUGGCUCUGGAUCUGGACAACAACAACAUCAAUGACUAUGGAAUAAAGCAGCUGCAACCUUGUUUCAGCAAGCUUGCAGUCAUCAGGCUGAGUGUAAACCAGGUCACAGAUCAUGGCGUGAGGAUCUUGUAUGAAGAACUCUCCAAGUACCAAAUUGUGUCUUUCUUGGGCUUAUACAACAACCAAAUCACUGAUGUUGGAGCCAAAUACGUUGCAAAAUUAAUUGAAGAGUGUUCAAGCCUGGAAUAUGUUAAAAUAGGAGCAAACAAAAUAACGAGCGAAGGAGGGAAGUGCCUUGCCCAGGCCAUCCAGAAGAGCAAGACAAUGUUUGAAAUUGGGAUGUGGGGUAAUCAAGUUGGAGACGAAGGAGCAAGGGCAUUUGCAGAUGCCCUGAGGAACCACCCCAGGUUAACAAAUGUGAGUCUUGCAUUCAAUGGCAUCACAACAGAGGGAGGCAAGAGUAUUGCUGAAGCCAUGCAGCACAACAACUCCGUGAGGAUAUUCUGGUUGACUAAAAACGAGCUGGAUGAUGAGGCAGCAAUGAGUUUUGCAGAGAUGCUGAAGGUCAACAAGAAACUGGUGCAUUUAUGAAAUUGUUCAAUACACUCCAAUUUUCAGCCUCAUCCUGAAUCCUGAGGGAUUCAUGCAACCAGGCACAUGGAAUAGUACAGCUGUGGGGCUCACCAUGGUGGACUGAAAGGCUUAUCCAGAAUCAAAUUACAGCCAAAGGGGUGAAGUGCCUCAGUGAAGCUCUCAAGGAGAACACGACUAUUCAAGAAA